CGACCCCGCCCCCCCCGGCCUCAGCUGCUGCGCACGCCCUCCGCGGGGGGGUGAUGUCGCCCCUUUCCUUCAUCUGACCGCAAAUGAUAAAGGGAGAGAAAUCACCCCAAGCGGGAUCCCUGAACUUUGGAGAUCUCUUGUGCCCAUUCUCGCGGAGAGGAGCGAGUUUCCUCUGGGAUGGGAGAAAUCCGGAUAUACUGUGGCAUUCCUCCCACCUGCCAGUCUGAUAACCUGAUCUGAAGAUCCUGAGAUGAGCUCGGUUUGGCUUUAGAGCAUCCAAGUUGACGUAAGCUCCGUGCAGUCUUUGCUAAGUGCCUACAGAUCUCACGUCACUUGAUCCUCAGCGUAUUCAUGCAAAAAUGUUCACAGCAGCUUUAUUUACAAUAGCUGAAGACUGAAAAUGACUCAUAUUUCAUCAACAAGAAACUUCCUGGUGGCGCAGUGGUUAAGAAUCUGCCUGCCAAUGCAGGGGACAGGGGUUUGAGCCCUGGUCUGGGAAGAUCCCACAUG